UGCCGGUAACAAUAAGGAGAAGAAGAAAAACGGCGGUGUAAACAAACCGUUAAGCUAACUGUCUGGCUGUCGGGCUAAUUGUCGGUGUUUCAGCGGGAUAAACGUUAAAUAAGAAGAUGGUGACGUUCAGCAGACGGGACCUGGACCGGAUCUACUCUGUGCUGCUGCUCUCCAUCGUGAUCUUGUCCUGGUCUUAUGUGAUCUACGCCAGCAGGAUCGCAGCUCAUUGGCUGCUGGAGGAGAGGACCGCCCUCCUGCAGCAGCACUGACAGCCCAUUAGACGGCCCGUACCGGCUGACAAACCCUCUAAACCCUCCUGAGAUUCAGACCUCUGACUCGCAGAGAGACUCGACCUGCUGGACCACGUUAACAUUAAAACCACUCAGGACUAGACUGAACCUGAACCAGGACCUGGAAAUGCUUCCAGCCCGAUGGGGUCUGAAUGGGAACGACUGCACUGAGACAAGACAAGGACUUAUGGGGACAGUGUCUCUCAGACUGAUAUGAAGUGUGCGCUGCACAUGUGAGCAUUUUUGAUGAUGGCCUCCGUCCAGUCCUUUGGUCUUAUCACAUUUAACCAUAGUUGUCUUUGUUUUUGUUGACGGGCAGUGGCGGCUGGUUUUG